AAAUUGAAGAGUUUGAUCAUGGCUCAGAUUGAACGCUGGCGGCAGGCCUAACACAUGCAAGUCGAACGGUAACAGGAAGCGCUUGCUGCUUCGCUGACGAGUGGCGGACGGGUGAGUAAUGUCUGGGAAACUGCCUGAUGGAGGGGGAUAACUACUGGAAACGGUAGCUAAUACCGCAUAACGUCGCAAGACCAAAGAGGGGGACCUUCGGGCCUCUUGCCAUCGGAUGUGCCCAGAUGGGAUUAGCUUGUUGGUGGGGUAACGGCUCACCAAGGCGACGAUCCCU
rnacentral:rRNA from 1 species